rnacentral:lncRNA from 1 species
AUCAUUAUUAUCUGAAGCUGCUUCUUCCUUGUUUUCUAAUACAUCUGCUGGGAGUAGUGGUUUUGUUCCGAGUUCAAUUCUUACAAUGGCAUCAUUCAAAAUGGAAACAAAUGAAUGUUGAUUCAAUUUUAUGCAGUUAGGGAGGAGAAAAGUACGCGUAUUUUGGUGUAUUUUGGUUUGUUCAUUUGUUCAAUUCAACACAUUCUGAAGAGAUUCACAGUUCCAAACACGGAACGACUGAAUGGAUUGUGGAAGAGAAGGUAUAGAUUGAAGCAUUUCACAGUUAGCAACUUCAAAAAACAUGAGUCUUGGAAGACAAUUAAUGCUUUCAGGUAAGCUUAUGAUAGGACAGGCAAAUAGUCCUAAAUUCUCCAAUGAUGAUAGCAAGGAGAUGCUGUCUGGGAUUUCAGAUAAAUUGUGACAAUAACUGAAACAUAAACCUCUAACAUACCUGAAACAAGGGCUAGGGAGUAAUUUAUGCAAGGUGGUCAAAGUAUCUUUGUCAUUCAUCUUUGAGUCAGAAAGUGUGAUAUCGUAUGAAAAGUUUUCAGGAAGAUCCACAAGACUCUCACAAAUGGGAAAAGUAAAUACAUCAAGAUUUCUGAUGAGCAAAGUUGAUGAUGUCAGCCCAGUUGUCGUUGUGGAAGGAUCGUUAGUGUUUUGGGGCAUUGAUAUGAACUCUUGGAGAUUGUAACAUUCACCUGCAUAAAGUCUCUGGAAAGAUUGUGAACGAGUGCUGCUGUAGAGGCUCUUAAGUGACUUACAUCCACUCACAUUUAGGUCUUCAAGCUUUGGGAGAUUGAAAAUAGAUGGGUCAACAUGACAUAUGCUUUCACAAUUUUCAAGUUUUAUAUGCUUAAGAUUUGGGGCAUUGGAAAAAUUUGGACACUCUAACAAGCGUGCAGACUUACUAAGGUCAAUUCUCUCUAAACUCGGAAAAUUCUGUAACAAUAUAUAUUGGAAGAACAAGUUAGUUUAUGAUUUUCCUAUUCUUGAAAAUAUUCAAUAUUUAUUGAAAUAGAAUUAGCUUUUCUCUUAUCAAAAGAUAAACAAGAACAUAACAGAUACAUCAUACCUGUGCUCCAUUCCAAAGUUUUUCCAGGUUGCUAUAGGGAAGGUAAAGUUCAACAAGAUUCGAUGGAGAAAAAUUUGAUGGUAGAGAAUUUAAUGGAUAUGCACUCCAUCCAAAACUUCGCAAGUUGUUAGGAAAAAAAUCAACGCCCUCCAGAAGAUGCACAGAAUUAAAUCCCAUAACAUCUUGAUGGUGGUCGUUGAAAGCAAGCAUUUUUAGGUUUGGCAUCUUUGUGAAUGCGUUAGAGUUCAAAUUUAUGCAGGUAGUUUGAUCCAUAUCUAAGCAUAUGCUUUCAACUGCAGUAGUCCCCUGAUAAAUGAAAAUUAGAAUCAUAUAUAUAUAUAUAUGAGUUUUGCUGUAAGACACCCAUGAAGGUGUCUUUUAGCAAUCCACACCUCAAGGUGUGAUUAUCAACUUUUUAGUUAUAACCUGCUAAAAGACACCUUGAUAAAAAUUAUUUGGUGUCUUUUAGCAAUUGCCUAUAGGAUAACUUGCUAAAACACACCUUCAUAAAAGGUGUCUUCUAGCAAAACCCUAUAUAUAUACAUGUUUUUUGCAAUGCAAGUCAAGGUAUAUAUCAUUAUUACAUUAUUGUCUGUCAGCACAUCACAAAUUUCGUCAGCAUUCCACAACCUACUGCGUUGUCUAGGGUUUUUGAUAGAUUCUUCACGAACAAUUUCCCUACCCAUUUGUUUUAUCAAGUCAUGCAUCUUUAUGAAAUUUUCUGAAGUAAUUGUUACAAGAGCCUUGUCUAAUAGGUUUCUUAUCCCAAUAUCUGCAAAAAAACCACAUGCAUUUAAUAUUUUUGUUACACUGCUGCUGCUUCCAAAUCCUUUGAAAAAACAUGCAACGUCUAGAAAUAUAUUUUUCUCUGUAUCAUCUAAUUCAUCAUAGCUUAACCUCAACACCUUUUGAAUUUCAGCAUUGGGAAUUUCCUUCAGUUUGUUUAAAGCACUAUUCCAUUCUUUUUUACUUUUUGUACGAAGAAAUGAACCCAGAACUUUCAAAGCCAAAGGGUUGCCUUUUGUAUAAGAAACUACAUUGUUUGAUAUCUCUUCAUAUCCCUCAUUGGGAAGGAUUUUUUUGAAAGCAUUCAAACUGAACAACCUGAUGGAGUUUUGAGAGUUCAUUUCCUUAACUUGAUGAAUUUCGUCAAUUCCUCCUCCUGUCAACACAUGCUUAUCUCUGGUUGUCACAAUGACUCUGCUACCAACUCCAAGGCAAUCAUGCCCUGCUCCAAUCAAAUUAUCUAGAAGUUCUAAAGUACGAACAUCAUCUAGUACAAUGAAAGCUUUCAUGCGUUUGAGUCUUUUCAUAACCAUAGAUGAUAUUACUUUAGGAGUCUCAAUAUGAAGAUCUUCCCCUAGUAACUUAGAAAGAAGUCUGUUGUAUGUGUAACUGAGCCCAUGUCUCUUUGAUUCUUCUGUGACAUUUUCUAGGAAGCAACUACCUUCAUACAUGGAAGAUACCUUCUGAAAUAUGGCAGCAGCAAGGGUUGUCUUUCCUAUGCCUCCCAUGCCCCAAAUUCCAAUAGUUCUAACUUCUCUUGAAUCUACUUUUAAUAAUGAUUCAAUGCUUGAAUAGUUUUCAUCUGGUAUGAACAAGCAUCUAAGUUCAUUUGUAUACUUUUGAUUCAAUUUUUGGAGGACUGCUUUGAUGAUGUCUCCAAUCAAGUCAGCUUCAGUCCUAAAAUAUAAGAAUACAGAUAAAUGCUUUUGAUUCAAUUUUUCUUCAAUUUUUGAAGUUUUGCAAGUUGGAGAGAGAUAGAUACAAAAAAUAGAUGGUGGAUCCCACCAUCAUUAGUUAUAUUUUAUUUUUUUCAAGAUUUUAAUUGUCCUUAUCUCUUUAAAUUGAAGAAAUGGAGAAACACAUAAAUAGAGAGGAUCCUAACCCUAUAAAAUGGGUCUGUUUGUUAUAGCUUUUUUCAAAAUAGAUUUUUGUAGUGUAAAAUGUUUUUGUUAUAAUUUUUUAACAAAGAAAUUUUCAAAGGAAAGCUUUGUCAAAAAAAAAAAAAUCAAUUCAAGGAAAGUUUCAAAUGAAAAAUUCGUUUGAAUAACUUAUCUUAAAAUGUCAUUUUAAGUAUUUCAUCAUUUUGUUAAAAAAAAUAUUGGAUACUAAAUUUUGAAAAAAUCUCUAAAAAAAAGCUAUUUCAAAUAACUUUUUAUAAAAAUCAUUUUUUAAAAAAUGUCAUUUUGAAAAAAUAUGUAAUUUUUACUAUGUCAAAAUAUCUUUUUUAACUUACACUAAAUGAGUUUGAAAUAACUUAUACUAUUUUUGACUAAAUUUCCAAAAAAUAUCCAUUUUUUUGGAAUCUAAAACAAACGGGCCCAUGUCUUACCUCUAUGUUUAAAAAAAAAAAUAGAUUUUGAGAAAAGCUAAUCCUAAUAGUUUUUUAUUUUAGAGUGAAAAUAGAUUUUUUUUUUAUAAAAUAAUUUUGCUAAAAAUCCUAAACAAACACUUAAAAAUGAUAAAAUAGAUGUUUUUUUACAACAAAAAAAAAAUAGAAUUUUUCAUGAAAAAAUCCAAAACAAACGGGGCCUAUAUCUGUUUUCUUGAUAAAAAUAAUCGAAGUUACAAAAUUUUAUUUGUUUAUUUAAAAUAAACUAUUUUUUAUCUUGGUCCCCUGUAUAAGAGGAAACUCCAAUUCAUCAUUUAUAUCAUAAUUUUUUAUAUAAAAAAAUAAACUUAGUGGUGGAAAUGAUCCUUAGGCAUUAGAAUUUGUAAAAGUAGAAGCAAAGAAAAUACCUAUAUGUACUUGAAUCAAAGCCAGAUAAAUUAGCUACUUCAAAGAGAGCAAUCUUCCACCUUUGAAUCUUAUCUUUGCCUUGUUUCUUUUGUUUCAACAACGCUGUGUGGUAACUUCCUGUCUGCUUUCGGACAUGUGAAGCUUCUAUACGGUAGAACACAGGAAUAACAACAACGUUGUCUUCGUCAUUUUUUUUGCACUUCAUUAUUUCAACGAGUUCAUUCAAACACCAUGUUGAAGAUGCAUAGUUUUCUGAGAACACAACCAAAAAUAAAGCGGAUGCUUUAAUUGCUUUUUCUAGUUCUUCCCAAACCUCUUCUCCUUUUUCGAUUCUAUAGUCUAUGUAGGUUUCGAUGUGGUUUUUACACAAAGCCGCAUGAAGAAAGCUUGUAAAAUUGGUGCGAGUAUCCUCCCCUCUAAAACUGAUAAAAACAUCGUGUUUUUUGAAAGGAGAAGAAGAAGAAGAAGAAGAAGCCAUAACUAUCUUUGAAUGUUUAUGCUUUGGUUGUGGAAGAUACAGACUACUACAAUAACAUUGUCUUGAACUUUUAUAUUUAUGAUAUUGGUAACAUCACGCUUUCUUUUUCAAGUUAAUGUUGAAUAGUUUUUUUUUUUUUUUAAUGAAUAAACUUAAUUUAAAUCUUCAAAAAUUUCGUGGCAUAAUUUAAUCACCGAAAAAGAUGAUAUCUAAUUAGUCUAUGAUAUUUUUUAUAGGGUUAAAUAUGUUUUUGGUCCCUAUAAAUAUAUCAACUUUUUGUUUUAGUCCCUCUAAAAUUUUCCUACGAUUUUUAGUCCCUAUAAAAUUUUCAAUCUUCACUUUUGGUCCCUCUUUUAAAGUAAACUCAUAUGUAGAAUUCAUAUUAUUUAAUAAAACUUUCCAGAAAAAUUAAAAAUAUUAUAAGAAUCACUCCAAAAAAAAUUCAGAAUUUUUUAACAAAACAUGAAUUUAAUAUGAAUUUAUAUAUUUUUUACAGUUAAAAAUUCAUAUUUAAUUUGUGUUUUGUUAAAAAAUUCUAAUUUUUUAAAGGAAAUUUUUUUAGAAUAUUUUACAUAUUUCUGCAUAAUUUCAUUAAAAAAUAGAAAAAUUAAAUUAAAAAUAGGGACCAAAAGUAGUGAUUGAAAAUUUUAUAGGGACUAAAUGUUGAAGGAAAAUUUUAGAGAGACUAAAACGAAAAGUUUACAUAUUUAUAGAGACCAAAAACAUAUUUAACCCUUUUUUAUAUAAGAGAUAAUAAAUCUUUUAUUUUUUUUAAUUACACAGGGGCUAGUUUAAGUCCCAUAUAAAAAUUUGAGAGAUAAAUUUCAUACUAUUUAUCAUGAGACAGAAAUGGGAAUUGUUUUUGUUGGCAAAGUCUAUGGUACACCCAAAAUAUUUAAGUGUACAGGUACAUCAAAUUCUUAAAUUAAUAGUUAAAUGAGUAGUUUUUUCUACUGAAAAAUAUAAUUUUUUUAUCAUUUAUAAUUAUAAUAACUAAGCUUAUUUACCAAAAGCACAAUGAAAUAAAAUUGAUUUAUUUUUAAAUUUUUAUCACUCAUAAUAGAGAAAAUUGAUUAUUUUUUACAAUAAUAUGUAAAAAGUUUACUAUAAUUCUUAUAAAAAUGAAAUUAUGUUUUUUCUUAUGAAAUGAUACUUUCUAAAAUAUAAAUGCCAACAAAGAGUUCUUUACUUCAUAAAAAUAGUCGUUAUCCUUAAAUAAAAAAAGUCGUUAAUUUAUAAAUACAAAACACAAGAGUAUCGAUACACUUUAAUCUACGAGUAUACAGUAUAACGUCCUUGAUUUUUUCUUCUCUUAUCAAGUUGACAGAAAUGUUAGCUUUUUCACACCUAUCACAUCUCACCCAUGUGAUCAGAACAACAUUUUCUUGUAUGAUAAUCCCCACCAGGACUACCCUAUGUCUCGCUUUUACUUAGUCGUAGCUUCGUAAUGGCCACACGUUCAAAGUCCAAUUGUUAUGCAUCUUUCCUUCACCUAUAUUGGUUGGAAUAUAUUCUUUCUACUAUGAAUGUAUCGUCCAAAAACAUUCAAUUUUGUGUUUAUUGUUUAUUGUUUAAUGGGUUUUGUUAAUUGGGUAUGUGGAAAAAAUUAGCUUGUAAAAAUGAUGAUGCUAUGAAUUUGUUCGAAACCAACACUCCUUAAUUUUUUUUUGCAUUAUCCAUUACCACUUGCACUUUACUCUCUAGUUGCACCCUGUACUUUAUAAUAUCGAAAUCAAUAUAUAUUUACCUCUUGGACUACAUGCAUAUGCAGGAAGAAGUUGAAGCUAAUGCCUCUCUGGGGAAGAGUGGAAGAAAUUUGACUGUAAUUGCACUUGAAUUUAAACUGAAGAAAACUGGAAAUUUGGUUUAUCUUACUAAUGAGGGUCGUGAAAUUAGAGACCCAGCUCUCUUAUUAAUAAUAAGCCCUUAAAAAAUACAAUUUUUUUAAAAGAAAAAUAUAAAUAAUUUUUUUUUCAAAUAAUUAUAAUAUUUGUUGUUAUAUGUAGGCCAGUGGCGGAGCCACGUACCAUUGAGAGGAUGCACUUGCAUCCCCUGACUUUUAGAAAUUACUCCUAAAAUUUUGAUUUUUUUUCCACUAUGAACCUCCUGGCAUUUUUACUCUGCACCUCCUUACCAACUCUCAUAAGGCUGUUGGAUUGCUUCCACAUUCUCUUGCUAGAGUUUGUACCCUUUUGACUCUUUUUUGUUCACUUUUUUGCAAAUUGUACAUAUCAAGUGAUAAACUAUAGGAAACAUGGACAUAGGCAUGCUAGGCUCUCAAAUCAAUUUUACCUUUUAAUUUUAUCUUUAAGAAGCAUUUUCCUUUUACAUUUACCUUAAAUUUUGCUAAACUCCGGUUUGUGAAUUGUUCUCAUAUGCAAAUUAUAUAUUAUUAUUAUGGGUAGAAUAUAUGUCAGUUAAUAAUUCAUAAUUAUAAGAAUAUAUGUGUAGUUGUGUAAUUUUUAUUAGUAAUCAAAGUUGAAGAGCUUGACAAAAGAAAGCGAUCAUUUAAUUUAUCAACUAGAUGAGAACAUUUUUAAUGUUAUUAGAGUUUUUCUUUUUUUUGAACAAGUAUUAGAGUUUUUCUUUAACAACAAAAGAAUCAAUAUCUUUAAAAAAUGAAGAAUAAAUAUAUUCACGACUAAGUUCACAUGCAAGGAUGAAGCACAUGUGAGUAGUCCGCAUCUAGUAUAUUAUAUGAUUUUGGCAGGGUCGCCCUAAGUAUGGUUGGGAGAGCAGCAACUUAAGACACCAUUUUAUUAAAGACAUUAAAAUUAUUAUUUUUACUUAGUAAUUAGUAUUAUAUAGAAAUAUUUAUUAAAUUGCUUUGACUAAUUAUAUUGACAAAUAUUUUUAGAGAAUUUUGAUUAUGAAUGAAUAUUUUGCAACAAAAAGUACAAGAAAAAAAAACAUUGGAAUAAUUAUAAAGAACACAAUUUUAUUGAUUAAUAAGGACACAAAAAAUCUACGAAUCGACCUUAGAUUUUGGAUGUAAACAUUUAGCUUUUUUUUUUUUUUUUUUUAAGAAUUUAGCAUUGUGUCUGUUAUAGGUGUUAGUUUUGGCAUAAGAAUAUAUAUAUAUAUAUAUAUAUAUAUAUAUUAUAAUAAUUAUUAAUUAAUUAAAAUUUUAAAAGUUUGAACCCUCUGAUCUUGGGUCCUGACAACGCCACUGAUGUAGGCGAAUACAAGUGCUCUAGAAAAACAAGAAAAAAAGAAAGUAAUAUUGUACUUUCAUUUGUAAAUAUGGAGGCCUUGAGGAGGGAACUGAAUGGAAGGAGAAUAGAAAGUAGUGAUGACAUAUAGACCUCAAAUCCAUCAAAAUUAGGCCCAAAAGAGAUAAAAGAAAAAUACAAUUAAAAAAAAAAGGAACAUUUGCUAUAUAUGGGAAUUGAACGCACAACACUACCAUAGUUAAGGCCGCACCUUUUGUCUUGUAAAUGUUUCUAUGCUAUGUCUAUAUAUUAAAAUUUCAAUGCAUUAUAUAUUAAAAAAAUAUAUAUUUUGGACCACAAAAUAGGGGAGGCCCAACUCUAUAGAGUUGUUUGCACCUCCCCAUGGUCGGGUCUGUUACUCAUGCUACCUUCUAUAACAUGGCCAGCUUACCAUUUCCUAAAAUUGAGCUCUGGUGGGUCUUUUUAUUGUCAACUACACAUUUUGUGACCAGGCAUUUUAGAAACAUGGAAAAGUGAAGAAUCUUUUAUCCACAAUUUGGUUAUUUUAUCCUUCUCAAUCUCCACUUCCAUUAGUCAACUCCAAGCUUUAAUCAUUGGAUUACAUACAAGUGGUUUAAAUAAACAUUUACUUGACUUUUUAUUUGUUAUUAUAUUUUUAGGACAUUCCUUGAGCUUGUAAGAAAUGGACCAUUGCCAAGUUUUUUAUCAGAAGUAUUGUUUAAGGAUCUCAAGUUGCUAUUAUUGUUUUUUAGUAGUUGCUAUUAUUUAAAACCUAAAGUAUUUUUAAACCUAAAAUAUUUUUAUUCUUUUACACUAGACCACUAAAGUAUUUUUAUAUCAUUGUUUUUUAAACCUAAAGUAUUUUUAUUCUUUUACACUAGACCACUAACUCAAUCGAGAUUUGAAGUAGUCUUAGAAAGUAUGAUCAAUCUAGAUUUGAAGUAGUCUAGAAUUUCUGAAACAACUUAUGAGAAAGGAAAAAUAAUCUAUAUGAAUUCAUUCAUAGAAUUUUUUUUUUUUAAGGAAAAUGUAAAUGCACUUGUUAAAAAGUUCAAAAAAGGAGUUUUUAAUUGAAAUUGUUAGGUUAGACAUCGUGAUCAAUGUUUAUUCAGACCUCAGUUCCUCGUCUUUUUCUCAGUGUCUAAUAAUUAUUUUCAUUUCGUCUAUCUAUCUUAAAAAGAAAAAUUAAAAAUGAUGCAUUCAACAUUUUGAAACUCUAGAAAUUGUAUUUUUAUACAUAAAACUUAUCAUAUACUUCCUUUUUUUUUUUACUUCUUAACAAAUGUACUUAUCUAUAUAAUCUUUUUUUUUUUUUUAAAUUACCAUGUUAUUGGUACGAAAUUUCCACCAUGUUACCGAUGAUUAAUUAUCUCUAUCGGGGAACUUGUGGGACGCACAAAGUGUGUUCUGACCUUCCAAUCAAUUUCUUUUUUCUAACGUAAGAGCAAGAAAUCGAACGUAUUUAAGGGUCAAAAUCAUUUAUCACUUUGAUUAAUUGCAUUUUAUUUUACGAAUUUUAAAGCUUAAAAUUGAAGAGUUAUGGAAAAAAGAUCAUUUCGGAUUCUUAAAUCCGGAUAAAUCUGCAAUAUUCUAACAAUUUCGAAAAACUAAUUUCGGACCAGGGAUAAAAUUGGAAAAAAAAAAUAGAGCGCGCGAGGAAAGGCAUAGCGUGGAAAAAGUAAAUCUCAACAAAGAUUUAUGCUUUUGUCUAGUUCUUUGCUCUAUGGGUUGUUCAAACUCAUGACCAGUUUCUAAAUCCAAUAAAGAUAAAAGAAGUUGUCUUAAUUCAAUCCCCUGUUUUUUAACAAAUCCAAAACACCAAAAAAAAAUUAAUAUAUUUUAUCAAAAAAAUCUUGGUGAUACUAAGCGUUGCAUCUCCGUUGCCAACAAGCCGACUUUAGUUUUUCUUCUAGGUUAUCUCUUUCAUUGUCUUUAUUGAGAGGUGGUUUUGGGUCAACUUUUGACCCGAAAUCACUCUAAUUAUCUUUUUCUCUAUUUCAAUCUAAAUAAGUGUUUUUCACAUAGCUCUAGUUUUUUCUCCUUCAUGAUUUCGUCGAUGCGGCGUAGAGUUCAUCGUCUUGCGCAAUGUUGUUUGGUUUUCCGUUUUGUUGUUGUUUUCAUUUGGUUUCUAUUGAAAAAUCGACUAUUCCAUCAAUGAUUUGGGCGUCACCGUUGCUGAUUCGGAGGCAUAUGUAUUCUGGACAUUUUAAUUUUAUCAUAUUAUUUGUAGGUAUUUUGCUGUUGUAUGCUAUUGACUUGGAUGAUGUGAGUUUCUUCGCAUGAUGUUGAUUCGAGUGUAGCUCAGUUGAUAAAGAUAUUGUACAUAAUAUAUGCAACGACUAGGGUUUGAACCACACCCCAUUAUUCAUCUUUUUGUUUUUGAAAGAACCCCAUUUAUUCAUUAUAAAAGGCUACCUGACAUGGUUUUGAUUCUCCUAUGUUAAUCAGGUAUUCCUUAGCUAAUUUUAAAUUUAUUUUAAGGAUAAAAAAGGUUGAAACAAUGAUCUAUCUUUCAUGUUUCUCUUGCAUUAAUUUUUUUCCAAUAAAUAAAUUAAAUGUUAAUUUUUAUGUUUUUUCCGGUUAUAAAUAUAUAUUUAAUUCAUGUUUUGUUAGAUAAUUCUAAUAUUUUUGGGAGAGAUUUUUAUAAUAUUCUAAACUUUCCUGCAAAAUUUCUUUCGAAAUUCCGAUCGAUAAUCAUGAAUUUGUUCAUCAUAUAGUCGGCCUAUAUUAUUAGUCCAUAGUCCAACAAAAGUCAAACUUGUCAAAACAUAGAAGUUUGUUCUUCACACGACCUAUCCUAGUCGAAUAACGAUACUUCAUUCAACCUGAUGUCAGAUAAUUUGGUUUUUUGGUAUGAUCCACGAAAAUGGAAACAGAUAAUGAAUACAAUUGAACAAACGAAAGCCAUAAGUGACGUGAACAGCACCAGUUACAAUCCAAAGCUCACAUUUACAUUCUUUUCAUAAGCUAUUAUUGAGAGCUGAAGAACAUAAGCUGAAACCAACUUAUAGAGAUGACAUAAGCCUAACAAUUGCUUAUAACAUUAGAAAAAGAAAAACCGACUAGAAAUUGAAUCGAUGAGACAUCUAAGUCAUGAUUCAACUAGUUCAAUCGGUUCAAUUAUUGCCUGCAUGUCUUUACAUAAGCUGCAACAGAAUUUUAUAACAUGAGGUCUCCGCCAAAUCCAAUAUGCAAGAGUUCUUCAAGUACACCCCUGUUCAAAUUUUCAAACAUAAUUUCAAGUUAGUGAUUUCAAUUAUUAAUGUGUUAUUGAAAAAUUUGAAAAAGUGCGAAGUAAUUAAUCCACUAUCUAUUUUUAAUAACAAGCAAUUUUCCCUAAGAUACCUUAAGUCUUCUGUUUCUGCUGUUUCCAGAUUGGGAAGAGUUCCAUAGACACUUUGCUGAAAAUUCAUUGCUGGUGGAACUGUUUCUUCUUGCUCAUCAGAUUUAGAACCCUCCACUGUGUGAGUUUCCUUACUUGUCUCAGAUUCACAUCCUUCUUCUUCCUCGACAACUUGACCUUCUGAGGAAUAUAUCCAUCGAAAACCACACUCUUUUAUCGCUGCUUCCAUAUUUUCUUCAGUACGAGCAGCGAAGAAUUUAAAUGUAAGUUUUGGAUUGUGAAUGGCACUCAUGUCAUUGGCUUUUAUUUCUUUGAUUGCUUCCAUUAUUUGCUCGCAACAUUGUUUAUCAUACCAUAAAAACAAAUGAUCCGACCUUAUGGUAAUUGAAAAAAAAGGAUUAAACAUAACACUUUCACGUAGAAAGAAACUUUUUAUACUAAUACAUUCACCGCAAGUGGUUUCUAAGUAGCAAUCACAUCCAAGACUUGCACCAUCUCCAAUGCAAACUUGAGAAAAAACCAAGUAGAAAAUGAAACCCAAAUGAUCACUAGGAGGAAGUUCAAUAGACACCAAAGUUUGUGUAGAAUGGUAAUGGAACCAGUCUCCAUUUUUAAAAUUUCCAGCUGGUAACAUGUAGCAAAUCUUACCUUUUAUUAAAGUGUCCCAAAUAUAAGAGUCAUCAUGUAAAUCAUUGUAACCAUCAUCAUCAUUAUUAUCUGAAGCUGCUUCUUCCUUGUUUUCUAAUACAUCUGCUGGUAGUAGUGGUUUUGCUCCAAGUUCAAUCCUUGCAAUGGCAUCUUUCAAAAUGGAAACAAAUGAAUGUCGGUCCAAUUCUAUGCAGUUAGGGAGGAGAAAAGUAGACUUAUUUUGGUGUUUUUUGGUUUGUUGAUUUGUUGAAUUCAACACAUUAUGAAGAGAUUUACAGUACCAAACAUAGAACCACUGAAUUGAUUGUGGAAGAGAAGGUAUAGAUUGAAGCAUUUUACAAUAACGAGCUUCAAGAAACAUGAGUCUUGGAAGACAAUUAAUGCUUUCAGGUAAGCUUAUGAUA